rnacentral:rRNA from 1 species
UACAAAGGGUGCUAGCGUUGUUCGGAAUUACUGGGCGUAAAGCGCGCGCAGGCGGCUAUCCAAGUCAGUGGUGAAAGCCCGGAGCUCAACUCCGGAACUGCCAUUGAAACUGUUUAGCUUGAGGACGAGAGAGGUGAGUGGAAUUCCCAGUGUAGAGGUGAAAUUCGUAGAUAUUGGGAAGAACACCGGUGGCGAAGGCGGCUCACUGGCUCGUUUCUGACGCUCAGGCGCGACAGCGUGGGGAUCAAACAGG